rnacentral:piRNA from 1 species
UUGGUGUGCUCAAUUGUAAAAUGAAGGUAUC